rnacentral:rRNA from 1 species
AGUGAACGCUGGCGGCGUGCUUAACACAUGCAAGUCGAACGAGAACGGGCUAUAGCUUGCUAUAGUUGUCAGCUAAGUGGCGCACGGGUGAGUAAUGUAUAGGUAAUAUGCCUCUUACUAAGGGAUAACAAAUGGAAACGUUUGCUAAUACCUUAUACUCCUUAUUAACAGAAGUUAAUAAGGGAAAGAUUUAUUGGUAAGAGAUUAGCCUGUAUUGUAUCAGUUAGUUGGUGGGGUAAUGGCUUAACAAGACUAUGACACAUAACUGGUUUGAGAGGAUGAUCAGUCACACUGGAACUGAGACACGGUCCAGACUCCUACGGGAGGCAGCAGUGGGGAAUAUUGCACAAUGGACGAAAGUCUGAUGCAGCAACGCCGCGUGGAGGAUGACACAUUUCGGUGCGUAAACUCCUUUCAUAUGAGAAGAUAAUGACGGUAUUGUAUGAAUAAGCACCGGCUAACUCCGUGCCAGCCGCCGCUGUAA